GUCGGUACAGCUCAGUGGUAGAGCACAUGAUUAGGAUGCACGAGGUCCCUGGGUUCAAUCCCUAGUACCUCCA
rnacentral:tRNA from 1 species